rnacentral:rRNA from 1 species
GAUGAACGCUGGCGGCGUGCCUAAUACAUGCAAGUCGAGCGAACAGAUGAGGAGCUUGCUCCUCUGACGUUAGCGGCGGACGGGUGAGUAACACGUGGAUAACCUACCUAUAAGACUGGGAUAACUUCGGGAAACCGGAGCUAAUACCGGAUAAUAUAUUGAACCGCAUGGUUCAAUAGUGAAAGACGGUUUUGCUGUCACUUAUAGAUGGAUCCGCGCCGCAUUAGCUAGCUGGUAAGGUAACGGCUUACCAAGGCAACGAUGCGUAGCCGACCUGAGAGGGUGAUCGGCCACACUGGAACUGAGACACGGUCCAGACUCCUACGGGAGGCAGCAGUAGGGAAUCUUCCGCAAUGGGCGAAAGCUUGACGGAGCAACGCCGCGUGAGUGAUGAAGGUCUUCGGAUCGUAAAACUCUGUUAUUAGGGAAGAACAAAUGUGUAAGUAACUAUGCACGUCUUGACGGUACCUAAUCAGAAAGCCACGGCUAACUACGUG